GUGCUUGCUUUAGCAGCACCUACACUAAAAGUGGAAUGAUACAGAAAAUAUUAGCAUGGCCCCUUCACCAAAGAUGACAGGCAAAUUUGUAAAGUAUACCAGAUCUUU